rnacentral:lncRNA from 1 species
UAAUUUGUCGCCACCUGCUGACUAUCAACACGAUCAAAACCAAAGGUCCAGAACAGCAUCUUGCUAUUGUUAUUAUUCUUUAGACGAGACAAAGAUUAAACAGGUAGGGACUCUUUCAUGGUAAAAUAGAAGUUCACCUGUACCAUAUACUCUGAUUCGCCUCAGCCAAACAUCUUACGUGGUAACCAAACUUCUCAGGACUUCACACAAAACUAUAAUAUACUCAAACUUGAAGCUUUAUUCUUCUACCAAAAAGCAUAUUUUAACCAUUUCCGACGAAUUCUACGGCACCUCAUAAAAGAAUCAAUGGACCAUCAGACCCAAACAAUUUGAAAAUAACCAAACAUCAAAAUCACCCAAGUAAGAACAGGAAAUGUUAUGGUCAUAUAACGUAGAAAUCUGAAAAUUGAAUGAUAAGAAUGAUUAUUACAUAAGAAUAUAUAAUCUGGAACUGACAAAAUCAUAUCCAGCAGUACACUCCACUAAACCCACUGAUCAACAUAUUACACAAUCAGAAACAAAAUAAAUUAUCUUGCCAUCAGAUCUCUAGCUUAAGCAAUUGGCGAUCCUAUCCAAAUUAUCCAGGUGUACAUAAGCUCUAGUAAAAUCAGAUCCGACGUUCUAGUUGCACAGUUAGCUUAGCCCCAUAAAAUAAAGAUGAAACAAGCACAACCUUCGUAAAGCCACAAAACAGAAAGUACCAAAUAGUAGGACGGGCACCAAAACGUUUGUUGCAAAUUUCUGCAAACAAGUAGGAAAAGCAGUAAAGGGAUUUAACAUAUACAUUAAAAAAAUUGUGAUAUAAAGUUAGAAAAAUGAGGAGGAUGAGGAAGAAAGAGAAAGCGAGAUUGAACAAUAUCUGGAACUGACGGGUGUCUCAGAAAUAUCGUAUCGGUAUUGCACAUAUAUACAUAUCAUAAGGAGAAUCAAAUCUCAAUCAGAAGAUUCCGAGACAAAUAGGUUGAACAUCCGGUCGUAUAUGGUUGUAUAUGCAUAUCAAAAGGAAGAAACUUUAACAGACACUCUUGCUUAGAAUCAUCAGCCAAAACAUCUUAUACCGACCUUGUCAGAGGAACAGAACAACACAAUUAUGACGAGGAGAGAACAUACUCGUAUUCAAAGCGCUUUCUUCUACAAAGAAUCAUAUUCAAGGUUGAGCGAAAAUCAAAUCAGCCGAUUACCAAACCCUAGCAAGAUAAAACACAAUCCAAACGCAAAAACCACUUGUUGAUGAAUAACCGAACAUCAUACCUAAUACCACGCCGGAUCAAAAUCACCAAAAGAAAACCAAUUCAGAAUCACAAUCAAACGACCGGCGAAGAAUCCACGACGCUCCGAUUGUCAGACCGGCAAAAUAACCCAGAUAAAUCAAAUCAGGACCCUACAAUCAGACGGUAUCGCGAAAGAGAAAAAAAAAACAUGGGACGGAUAAUCGCCGCUGAUUGAAUUGAAUUGCGCAGGUUUCAUAGCGACGAAAAUACAUAUACAAUCUGAAAAACGGAAACGACAAAUAAACAUCCGCAGAGAACCAAAGGCAAUCAAAC